GAUGAACGCUGACAGAAUGCUUAACACAUGCAAGUCCACUUGAAUUUGGGUUUUUAACUUAGGUUUGGGUGGCGGACGGGUGAGUAACGCGUAAAGAACUUGCCUCACAGCUAGGGACAACAUUUGGAAACGAAUGCUAAUACCUAAUAUUAUGAUAAUAGGGCAUCCUAUAAUUAUGAAAGCUAUAAGCGCUGUGAGAGAGCUUUGCGUCCCAUUAGCUAGUUGGAGAGGUAACGGCUCACCAAGGCGAUGAUGGGUAGCCGGCCUGAGAGGGUGAUCGGGCACAGAGGGCAUGAGACACGAGCCUUACUCAUUAGUGGGCAAGGAGUGGAAAAUAGUGGAAGAUGUACCGCGUGUCUGAUGCAGCAAUUCUGUGUGAACGAUGAUGUUUUUCGGAAUGUAAAGUGGUUUGAGUUGGGAAGAAGCAAAUGACGGUACCAAAAGAAUAAGUAACGGCUAACUACGUG
rnacentral:rRNA from 1 species